CUGGCUCAGGAUGAACGCUGGCGGCGUGCCUAACACAUGCAAGUCGAACGAAGCACUUUCCCGACGAAGAGGCGUGCUUGCACAAAUCGGAGUCAUUUAAAGUGACUUAGUGGCGGACGGGUGAGUAACGCGUGGGUAACCUGCCUCACACAGGGGGAUAACAGUUAGAAAUGACUGCUAAUACCGCAUAAGCGCACGGUAUUGCAUGAUACAGUGUGAAAAAGAUUUUAUCGGUGUGAGAUGGACCCGCGUCUGAUUAGCCAGUUGGCAGGGUAACGGCCUACCAAAGCGACGAUCAGUAGCCGGCCUGAGAGGGUGAACGGCCACAUUGGGACUGAGACACGGCCCAAACUCCUACGGGAGGCAGCAGUGGGGGAUAUUGCACAAUGGGGGAAACCCUGAUGCAGCGACGCCGCGUGAGUGAAGAAGUAUUUCGGUAUGUAAAGCUCUAUCAGCAGGGAAGAAAAUGACGGUACCUGACUAAGAAGCCCCGGCUAACUACGUGCCAGCCGCAGC
rnacentral:rRNA from 1 species